GAGACACGGUCUCCCUAUGUUGCCUAGGCUAGUGUCUUAUUUCUGGGCUCAAGCGAUCCUCCCGCCUCAGCCUCCCAGAGAGUUGGUAUUAUAGGCAUGAGCCACUGUGCUGGCUUGCACCUAGAUUCUUAAAGAGAACAUUACUAGAACAUUACCGGAAGCCCCUUGUGCACUGUCCCCUGUGGGCCACUUCUCCCACCCCAUUCCUGUCUUUUAAUACUAGAGAUCAGUUGUGCUUGUUUUUGAAAUUUAUGUGAGUGGAGUAUACUAUGUAUACAGUACACAGUAAAUACUGUAUGUACCACUGCCUAUAUACAGUAUACUCCACAGUGAGUGAAACAAGCCAGACUCAGAAGCAUACAUACUGUAUGUACCACUUUGCUUAGUAGCCACAGUGUAUGCACCAUGGUACAUGCAUAUACUUCUGAAUCUGGCUUGUUUCACUCAUGGUUAGGUGUGCAGGAUUCAUCCAUGUUGUUGUGUGCAGUUCUUGCUUAUUUUACCAGUCUGUCUUAUCCUGAGAAUAUCUUUGACAUUCAACUCUGCAUGCAGACCCUUCCUUACACGUUCUAGAGAGAGGACCUGUCUUCACCCUGUGUUUAUUACCCACAUACUUGAACAGCUGUUUCCUCCAGGCAUCAUUAUGCAAAAGGAAUGAAACCCGGUGUGUGCAGCUUUUUUAGAGGACGUAAAAGGAGUCAGCUCUUGCCUCUCAUCAAUAGUAUUGUUUAUCAGUCAUUUCUCUUUUGAGGCAUUGGUUGAAUAAAUGGGAAAAUUCCUGCUUUCAAGGAACUUAGCAGACUUGUUGACAGAUAAGACCAUAAGAAGAAAGCCAGUGAAGUACCCAGUGAUGUGAACGCCAUGGUAUGAGCAAGUACAUAAUAGAGACCACAAGUGCUUUUUAGAAGUUAGAGAUAGUCAUUCUCUGGGGCUUCCUCAGGAAAAUCCUCGCUGAAUCUGGGAUCUAAACUGGGCCUUAUGAUUCUUGGAUAUAAGGUUUGUUGUAUAGGUUGAUACAAGUUACUUAUUAAUAGUUGUUUGCCCCCCUCCCUUUCACUAUCUUUAGGUGAUGAUGUCCACACCUUUCCACAUCUCCUCAGGAGCUGGUGAUUCCCAGAUACUAUUUGUUAACCUGCAUCACCACUCCCAUGCACACGAACACAGGACAAACAAAUCCAGCUGCUUCCUGGCAUCUCUACUUGAACAACUUAAAGGCAAUUCAGAUCCCACAGGGUGAAAAGCUGAAUUCAUCUAUCAGAGUGUUUUCUAAAAUCCCAAGUAGAUUAUGUCCCAUUCCUGCUUAAAAUGAUCUCCUGAUUCUCAUUGCCUUUUGGAUAAAAUCCAAUCCUGAGUAUCAACAAGGGGCUUGUGAUUUGGUCCUUUUCUGUGUCAUUCUUUAGAAUUUCUGGAAGCAGCCUAUCAUCGCUCCGUCUGCCCUCCAUACACAGCGUUUGUGUGUGUUAUGCCAAACUGCUUGGUGUUUUCCAACCGUGGACCAUGAUAUCUCACUUCCUUAACCUUACCUUCAUAUGCUUUUCCUUUGUGUCUUCUUCUGAAAUGCUUCUUCCUUUUGUCCAGGCUGACUCCUGUUUGUCUGAGACUUGUGUCUCAGGAAGCCUUUCCGUUCCCCUCCAGUCAUUCAUACCUCUGUCAUAACACAUAGACUGUAUUUUUAAUUUGAUUUCCAAUCUGUCUCUUUUAGGUUGUCACCUUUUUUGAGGGCAAGACCUUUUUGUUUCAUGGCUUUAGUUUGCUGUGUUUGUUACAGUGCCUGGCAUUUGGUAGGGGUUGAGUAAAUGUAUACAGAAUAAAUGAAGCCUGGGAGAAGGAGUUCCAGUUAAGAGUUCUAAUAAAUAACUGUUUUUUCAAAAUCUUGGGGCUUUCAUCUUGUGUGUUGAAUGUUACUGGAUUAGGGGAAAGUUGUCUUUAUGAAGUGGGCCCUUUAAACUAGUAUUCCUGUUUUUCUGUUAUAGUUCCCUACUCCCCGCCCCACACCCCCUCUAAAAAAAAAGUACUAGAAGUUACACACAGAACUGUAGCCUUGGAGGCUGUAGGCAGUGCAUUUAAAGUACUUCUGGAGUGGUUUUGAGCUUCAGAGCAUUGACACACUUCCCUAAAUAACUGUGACAAUUCUUUCUAUUUGCUGUUGCCCAUCGGUGAUUUCAGUGGCCAGUAGUCAUACUGGAAAGUCUGAUAAUAAAGCAGGGGAUCAGUCAUGUGGUACCAAACCAGUUGUGGGGAAUGUUAGAUGUGUUAAGAUGUGAUUAGCAACGACAUUCCUGUUUGUAAACUGGCAUCUAUGGCGGUUUAAAAAUGGUGGCAAAACCAUUUUGAGUAUUGUUGGAAAUGUUAUCUGUUCUGCCGUGUUAAUAUACCUAUAAGUUGGUAGUUGCAUCUUGUACCCUUGAUAGUCAUACUUUGUACAUUGUGUAUGCCACUCUUCUGUUGAGUAAUUUGGAUUAAUUACUUUGGAGAUUGAAGUCUUGACUCAUUCACUUCACUCAUUUAUUUAGCUGUAUUUUCAGUUCCAUGCAAUGAGUGACACAGACUGUGCUGCCAAAAAGGAAUUCUCAGUAAGGGCAAUGCACAUAAAUUACUGUGUUACUCAGAAAUCAUGAAUAGUUGAGAUCACAAGCGGAGAGAUGGAACCAGGUCUUAUAAUCAGUAAACCAAUAUUCCAGUAAAAAGCCUGCAAAGAAUGCAAAUAAGUAAUAAAAUAACUACAAAUUAAGUCAGUAAAUAUGAGAAAUGUAUAGCCUACCCAUUACUCAAAGGAAUACAAAUGUAUGUGUGGAUGAGUCAGUAUCACUUUUAUAGUUGGAAGAAAGCAGUUUUCCUAAUAGGAAAUUUUUAGAAUUAAUCUGGUUUGGAAUAUUUAAGUGACAAUGUGUUUUUACAUUAAGGGAUUAAAAUUUUUAUCAGGCACACUACUAACUUAGUAUUAAAACAGCUGUUAAGAUUGGAAAGUAUCUGAAUGUAUUCUUUAAAAUAUAUUGUAUUUGUAAAUUUAAAAUUGUUUCGUACUCUUCAUAUAUAAGACAUUUUGUGUGAUGUUCUAAAUCAGUGCUAUCCAAAAGAAAUAUAUUGUAAGCCACAUGUAAUUUUAACUUUCUAGUAGUCACAGGAAGAAAGUAAAUUAAGCAGGUGAAAUUAAUUUUAAGAAUAUGUUUUAUCGAACCAAUUAUAUCCAGAAUGUUUUUUUUAACAUGUAACCAGUAUUACAGUGAGAUAGUUUACAUUCUUUUUUUCAAAGACAGUCUUCAAAAUCUAGUGUACAUUUUAGGGUUACAGCAAAGUUUAGUUCAGACUAACCACAUUUCAAGUGCUCAGUAGCCACCUUUGGCUAGUGGGUACCAUAUUGAAGAAGAGGAUGAGUAGUUGGGAGUGAGGGCUUUGAUGUCAGACCCAAGUUUGAGUAACAGCAGCUCUGCCAUUUGCUCACCUUGUGACCUUGGGUAUGUUACAUGAACUUGUGCUUUUGUUUUUCAUUUAUAAGGUACAACAGUUGAUUGCUAAAUAGGAUUCUUCUGAAGCACUGUCUGUUUUAAAACGGUGAUCCCUCUUAGUAGAGCUCCCAUAGAAUGCCUUCCGAAGUUCUCUUCUGCUCUGUACUCUCUGGCUGAAAGUUUCAGAAACAGAGCGACUAGAGUGGUCUAGAGUCAGAAUACAGUGUAAGGAAGCAAAGGGGAU
rnacentral:lncRNA from 1 species